ACAGCUUCGGGACGACUGGAUCGCCGCGCCUGGGCCGGAGCGAGCCAUCUGCGGGCACUAUGCAAAGCGGGAGACGGCGCGAGCGGCGCCCGGCUCACACUAGCUCUUCCAGGACGCAGGUGUUCUAACCGGGAUGUGACAGUUGAGGCUGGGAGCAGAAAUAAUCAACAUGCCCAUUAGAUACAGGACGGAAUAAUGCUUCUAUUGGUUGGGUCCCUUCGAGAGAGAACCAUUCUCUGCUUUCAAUAGGACAGAAGAGCUCCUUGGCACUGGAUGCCUCCGGGUCUGGUUGAGAGAGGAAUGGUUAGGAGACUGUUCUGAGGAUACGCAGACAUCAUCCAAAGCUUCCUACAUUCAGAUGAGGACAGAGGUUGGGCCAGAGCUUUGUAAGCUUGUUACCUAAGGAUGGUUCUGACCAUGUAAGCAGAUCACAGAAGCUAUUCACAGAUCAUCAUCAGCCAGAGGUGACUUCUGUUGCUUGCAGCUCAGAAUCCUAGAUGUUUCCGGUGGCACUGAAGAGCCUCUGCUGAAGCUCUAUACCAUUUGCCAUUUACAAAGGGAAAUGAAAUAAUAACGCUGACCAUUUGUGGAGCACAUUCUGUCUGGAGGCAAAGGAUGCCAAGAUGGGAAAGCCACAUAAUGGAAGGAUCCUGGAUUUCAGAGCUGUCACUUGGAGGAGGGGCACCCAGUGAAGGUGUCUUAUCUAACCCACACCAUAUCUUCAUGAAGUGGCCAUAUGGAUUUGAUCCCUAUCCUUCAGAGGUGCUCAGCCUAAGGGAACACGGAUAGUAGAUUAAGCACUGACCAGGUGAAAAAGAUUGAUCAUCAGAUGUUUCUUAUGUAUCAACCUGAUAUUUAAAUCCAUGAAGGACAGAGACGACAAAGGCAGGUGGAAUAGAUAGAGAAGAGAUUCAAGGUCUGAGCUCUACAUUACUCAAACUGUUAGAGAUUAGGAAGAAGAGGAAGACCUGGCAAAAGAAUGUCCUGGGAUGUAGAAAGAAAACCAGAAGCUUGUGUUCUCUGGAAACCAAAUGAAGAAAGGGCUUCCAGAAGGACAGACAAAGUGUAGUGUGUCAAAGGCUCCUGAGCAAUCAGAGGAGAGCACAAAGGGGCUCACAGGACUUUGGUAUCUGGAUCACCCAGUGACACUUCCUGAUCACGAGAAACUGUCAGACCAACAGGGGCACUUUCUGAAACCAGCAGUUCUUCAGUGCCCAAAUGCAACCUUGAUGGUUUGAUUUUGGAGGAUGGCAAUUCAUUAACAGCACUCCCCAGUGAUAAAUAUGAAAACCAAUAAAACCCCCCACCCAAGGCAAUCUCUCCCAGCUCCUCGCUUUGAGUAAAGAGAAACCAGGAGAAGGCAGUCCUAGGGCAGUCUCCGGGCCAGCUUUCCCUAAUAAGAAGGCAGAGCUCCUCUUCACCCAGACUUCAGACCUAUAGAGGCAGCCUGGGGUCCCGGGAUGCCCUUGCACUCAGAGAUGUCCCCAGAGUCCUAGGGAAAUGGAGGAUAACUAGGAGGAAGCUGUUCAUGGCUGGCGAUGAGGUCUAUACCUUCUUGUCCGUCUCAGUGCUGUCUGCUAUUGAAUUUUUGUGCAGAUCACAUUAACUUAAAGCCAGUUCUCAAGAAGCUCCCCCUGCCGCCGGCAUAUCCACCAGUUGCUCCCCUUUCCUGCCAUUAAUCAGGGUCUGCUAGUUAGAGAACAAAUUCCUAUUUGUCCAAACAGUUGCCAACACCCCCACCCCAAGGUAGUUAAAUGAGGAUGAAUGGGUCAUUCUUAUUAAAAAAUGACUUAAAUUUCUCAAAUUCUAUUUAUGUUUCUUUUACAUCCCAAUUUUCUAUAGAUUUAGUGACUCCAAAUGAUAAGGUCUCAAGCUCAUAAUAAUUUAUCCCUUGGGUAACACACAAGGCUUGGUGGUAUUUCAGUAAUAUUCAUGACAACAGCAGCUGUCGUGCUAAUAAGGACUGAUGUCACCAGAGCACUUUCUAUGUGCCAAGCAUGGUGCACAACACUUUACAUACAUUAUGUCAUUUAAUUUUCACAAAACCUCACAGAGGUAAAUAUUAUUAUCUUCCUCUGCAUAUAAGGAAAUGAAUGUUCGGAAAGAUUAAGUCAACUCACUGAGGUCCCAUCAGUGCUCUUUCAUAUGCCUCUGUUGCAGUCUCAUUGAACUGCUGAAAUCAGAAAAACCUGGAGACCUUGUUAACCUUCAGAUUCCUGGGCCCCAUCUUAGAUGCAGGGAGUCAGACUUCCUGGGAGUGUGGCCCUGGAAUUUUCAUUUGUAAACACAUUCCCCAAGAGACCUGUAUGCACACUAAAGUGGGAGAAUUCACGAUCUCUGGCUUUUGUGAUGUUUUAAACGCACUAUAUAAUUUCAGUAGCAAAAGAAUUGGGCUUUGGGAAGGGAGUGUGUGGUGAACCCUGAAAGCUGAAUGGACUUCCUUCCUGUGGAGGAGCAGUGGGAGAAACUGGAGGCAGAGAGCUGUGUUUCAUUCCUUGAUUGAGCCUUUGUGAGUUAUUUAAUCUCUUUCAGUCUCUAUUUUUUUCAUUUGUAAACCAGGAAGGAUACUUGUAUUUUCCAGGUGGUUGUGAGGUGUGAAAGAGAUGAGAGUAGAACAAAAUUUUAAAAGUUGAAAGCACUCAACAAAUGUAUUUGGUAUUAAUCAUGGGUUUCCCUGGGGCCGAGGAAGCCACCAGCCACCGCAGGCCUGUACACAAUGCCAGCCACCAUGUAUGGAUACGGAGGAGGCAAAAGGACUAGCGAACACUCCCAGGGACUGGAUGUCUUGAAUAUCUGUCCAACUUUCUUGGGAGGGGCCAUUUCUUCUGUAACUCAAAGGAAUUUAUUAUUUUUCAGCCAGGGAGGCAUGCUUUCUAUCUACUGCUAGUACUCCCAGACCAAGCUGUUUCAGUGGGACUGAGGUGUGACUUCUGCCUCGGUUUCAUCCAUCUGUGCAGGGAAGAGAAAAAUGCCUGCACCUCCACGGUCACACCCUCUGUUGGAACCACCUCCUUAAGCCAGAAUUAUUGAAUGUUCUCUAUGUGCCAGAAUUAUUAUUAUCUCAUUUGAUUCUCACAACAAUGCCAUGAAGUCUAUACAGACAUACCUUGGAAAUACAGCGGGUUUGGUUCCAGACCACCGCAAUAAAGCUAAUACCGCAAUAAAAUGGGUCACACGAAUUUUUUGGAUUAGGCUUCGGCUUAAGGGAAUGUUGUGGCUGGUUUGAUGUUUUAUCCAGACCGCUAACACUUUCUCCCUAUCAGCAAUGAGGCUGUUUUGCUUUCUUAUCAUUCCUGUGUUCACUGGAGUAGCACUUUUAAUUUCCUUCAAGAACUUUUCCUUUGCAUUCAUAACUUGGCUAACUGUUUGGCACAAGAGGCCUGCCUAGCUUUUGGCCUAUCUAAGCUUUUGACUUGCCUUCCUCACUGAGCUUAAUCAUCUCUAGCCUUGGAUUUAACGUGGAAAAUGUGUGACCCUUCCUUUCACUUGAACACUUGGAAGCUAUUGUAGGGUUAUUAACUGGCCUAAUUCAAUAUUAUUGUGUCUCAGGGAACAGGGAGGCCCAGAGAGAGAGAGACGGGAAAACAGAAAGUCAGUGGGGCAGGCAGAACACACACGUUUAUUUAUUAAGUUUGCUGUCAUAUGUUGGUGCAGUUCAUGCUGCCCCAAAACAAUUACAAUAACAAGAUCAAAGAUUCCUGGUCAUAGAUUGCCAUAACAGAUACAGUAAUCACGAAAAAGUUUGAGAUAUUGUGAGAAUUACGCAGAUAUUGUGAGAAAUAUGACCCAGAGACAAGAAGCGAGCACAUGCCGUUAGAAAAAUGGCACCAACAGACUUGCUUGCUGCAGGGUUACACAUACCUUCAAUUUGUAAAAAAAAAAAACUGUAAUAUCUGCAAAACGCAAUAAAGAAAAGUGUAAUAAAAUGCAGUCUGCCUGAACUUCAAUUAUUCCCAUUUUAUAGAAGAGGAAAUAGAUGCAGGGAGUUUGAUCUGCCUGAACUAGUAAAUGGUAGAACUCUGGGACUAACAUUCCUAUCCUCUAUGCUACAUUCCUAGGAAAGAACGCUCAGACAGGGUUGGACUGAGAGUGUGUUAAGCUUUGCACUGUUUUGAGCCCUCUGAAGGAGUGUCCGUAUUUGAAAGCUGGCCUCCUUCCUUUCACUGGCCCUCCACAGUGUGGCCUAAGUUAUUCAAUUAGGAAGGGAAAUAAUUGGCAGUGGAGAAUGCCUCUAGCAGUGGUAAUUACCUCCAGUGCCUUGUAGGAAUAGUCAAGCUACAUUUCAGUUUAUGCUGUAAAACCUUAAUUAUAAUAUAAACAGCUGCCCUUCAGCCCAGUGGGGCAGCCUUCCCCCGCCUUCCUUCUCUGGCCUCUGAAUGGCCCUGCCUCCUGAAUGGUCAGGGAGGUCCAGGGACGGAAGGAGACCUGGGAGGAGGGGAGCCGAUGACUAUGCGUGCGUUGGGGUUUGGAAGACUAAGCUGGAGGGAGCCACUGCCAGGGUCCCAUCUUCAAGUGAUGAAGCCAAAGGCAGCAUCCCCAUUCUUGGUACCACUCACACUGAGUCUCUUGGGGGAGCAGCCUCCAGCCAUUAGCAGUCAGCCCAGUGCCAUUAGGCUAGGAUAGGGUUUAGCAGGCUAUGGUAUCAUUUCAGGGUAACAUCUCUUUCUAUUUACUCCCCUAUAAGGGAGAACAGAGUCUUCCCUUCUAGAUCCAGACUUCCUGGCCAUGUAGGAGCCCUGUUGAGUGCCUGGUGCACUCUAGGUAGUAUGCGAGGCAUGGUUGCAAGGGUUCCCCAUUUCAACUUCACAGCACUUGGAUACACAGAAAAUUAACAUCCUCAUUUGACUAUUGAGGAAAAUGAGACUUUGAAAGUUUAAACGGAGAUAAGGCUUGGGAGGCAGACAGCCCUGUAAGUGACUUAAGUUCAGGAAGGAGAAGGACACUCAAUAUUUUUGUUCAGAGCACUGGGAAGGAGAGAGAGGGAUCAGUCACCAUCGGGCAUUUGAGAAGGUCCAGGAACAGGGGGCUGGUGAGCAGAGGGGGGAAUAACACCAGAGGGGCUGAAAUUGCUGAUUGCUGGGUUCACAGAUCUACCCACGAGCGGCCCAGGUACCCCAUGAGCGGCUGCUCUGUGUCAUCUGACCACUGGAUUGUAACCUGGGCUGAAAGAAUCAGAAGUCAGUGUGGCGAGGCAGGAGUCCUCAGAUGGUCAGAGCUGACUCUUCAACUCUUAAGGGCAAAAUGGAAAAUGUGAGCUUGUUGGUGGUCUUCGAAACACAGUAAGCAAUCCAUGCCCCUGAAGAGCAGGGAUAAUUAUAGGCAUGCCCUUGUUUUAUUGUGCUUUGCAGAUAUUGCAUGUUUUUACAAAUUGAAGAUUUAUGGCAACUCUGCAUACAGCAAAUCUAUUGAUGCCAUCUUUUUCCAAUAUCACAUGCUCACUCUGUGUCUCUGUCUCACAUUUUGGUAGUUCUCCCAAUAUUUCACACCUUAUUAUUAUUAUUAUAUCUGUUAUGAUGAUCUGUGGUCAGGGAUCUUUGAGGUUACUAUUGUAGUUGUUUUGAGGUGCCAUGAACUGCACCCAUGUAAGACAGCGAACAUAAUCAAUAAAUGUUGUGUGUUCUGACUGCUCCACCAACCGACUGUUUCCCUGUCUCUUUCUCUCUCCUCUGGCUCCCUAUUCCCUGAGGCACAAUCAUAUUGAAAUUAGGCCAAAUAAUAACCCUACAAUGGCUUCUAAAGGUUCAAGUAAAAGGAAGAGUCACAUCUCUUACUCUAAAUCAAAAGCUAGAAAUGAUUAAGCUUAGUGAGGAAGGCAUGUGGAAAGCUGAGA
rnacentral:lncRNA from 1 species